UUUUCUGAGAUCACUGAGAUCUCUGUUUUAUUUGAUCACGCAAACACAUUAACGCUUCUACAGAUCAAAUAAAGAUUCAAAGACUAAAAUGUAUGAAACGAAAAAAAAAAUUCAGAUCCAAGCGAACAAAUCGACCAAACAAAACAACAGUCACUGAAGAAAAAAAACAAAAAUCAAACACAACAUAUCAGAAUAGACCGAAUCUGAAGCGAUUAUCGACUCAGAGACACAUAUUCCUCGUUCUAUCAUGUAUAAUACAUCGAUCAAAGUGAGAUUUAGAAAAUGUGAAAUUCUACGGAUAAAAGAAACUGAGAAAGAUAAUUGAACCAUCGCCAUCUUUGU
rnacentral:lncRNA from 1 species